rnacentral:lncRNA from 1 species
CUUAUAUUAACAUUGAGUCAGUGCUCCAUAAACAACAUUAAUCAAGCAACUGUUAUCUGCACUGUCUACAGUGAGAUCUGGAAUGAAUAUUUGCAUAUUUCUUCUUAACACGUCUAGGAUGGUUCGGUCGGAAAACAUGCUGAGUGCUGUAGUUUAUGUUUUAGGAGAAUAACUUCUUUUAAGACAACAAAGAAUGCAAUACAAACAUUUCACUGCCCAGCGGUUUUGGGUGCGCACCGGUGUAUCAACAUGUUGUGUCUCUUAAGCCAAGAAGUAGCCGGAACUUUGAGAUUGGGAAUAGUCGAUGGUUUUGUCCAUGCUACCAGCGAACAAAUUGUCUACUGAUUGGUGCUUUAUUUGUUGAUCAAUAAAAAAUCGUUAUCUGCAACGCUUAGAGCGUUAUUUGCAAAAUGUACGUCGGGUAACAUACUAUUACUGAAUGUCACUUCCUCUUUUUUUUUUCUGGUGCAUCAUUCACCAUGCCACAAAAGUUAAUACAAAAAUGUUAUUAUUAAAACAGUUGAAUCUUUUAAUAAUAAAAAAAUAUAAAUACUAACGGGUUAUAAAACACAUUAUUUCAUCAUCGACUUUUCUCUAACUACACUUUCGUUCUGCUUACUCUCUAUACCCAAUUCUAGUUUUGUAUUUACCCAUUUCGUUUGAUUGAAUUAUUGUUAAACCCCGACAAAAAGGCAACAUACUGGCAGAACCGUUAGCACGCCAGCCAAAUUGCUUUGUGGCAUUUCUUCUGGCUUUAUGUUUCGAGUUCAAAUUCCAUAGAAGUCGACUUUGUCUUGCAUCUUAUCGGUGGCGAUAAAAAUAAGUAGUUGCUACGAUCUUGGGUCGAUCCGAUCGACUUACGAUCUCAGCCUAAAUUGCAGGCCUUGAACAUACUGUAAAGAGGUACAUAUGUACCUAACAUAUGUACCUAAAUCGCCUAUUUUUCUGUUUUUAUCUGUUUUUGUCGUAAUAAUGGAGCUUUUUAUAACAAAUAAUAUUUCGUGUCAGUAUUUCAAAUAAGUCACGACGUUUUGUAUACAUUCACAUGUUUUUAGCAGUUAUUCAGGUAGCAAAUUUUCUUUAAUCUCUCCCCCUCGUCUGAAUUUAGAAACUUUUUCUGGUUAGAUUUCAACAAACUGAAGUGGAAGGAACUAUUUGAAGAUUACAAGUCUGAUGGAAUUUCCAUCAGAAGAUAUUGGCAUCAAACAAGUUUUUACACCUGAUAUAACAACAGCAUUUGUCAGCUGUUUAAAGACUAAAGAAAGACAUUAUACACGGAACAUAUAUAACACUGUUUUGGGAUUACUAGCAGCAUUUCUCAGCUUCAUCGUGUGGAAUGUUUACAAGAUGAUUUUGCCCUCUUAUUAAAUGUGGAUUACAAAUGUGUUUGCAGAAUUUCCAUAUCGUUGUAAAAAAAACACAGUUGUUGGAAAUAAAGCAGUAGAAAUAUA